UGGGGAAUAUUGGACAAUGGGGGAAACCCUGAUCCAGCGACGCCGCGUGUGUGAAGAAGGCCUGCGGGUUGUAAAGCACUUUUAGUGGGGAUGAAAAGCCUUGGGAUAACACCCCAGGGUCUUGACCUAACCCACAGAAAAAGCACCGGCUAACUCUGUGCCAGCAGCCGCGGUAAUACAGAGGGUGCGAGCGUUAAUCGGAAUUACUGGGCGUAAAGCGUGCGUAGACGGUAACGUAAGUCAGAUGUGAAAGCCCCGGGCUCAACCUGGGAAUUGCAUUUGAGACUGCGUUGCUCGGGUGCGGAAGAGGGAAGCGGAAUUUCCGGUGUAGCGGUGAAAUGCGUAGAUAUCGGAAGGAACACCAGUGGCGAAAGCGGCUUCCUGGUCCGACACCGACGUUCAGGCACGAAAGCGUGGGGAGCAAAC
rnacentral:rRNA from 1 species